rnacentral:rRNA from 1 species
AACGAACGCUGGCGGCGUGCCUAACACAUGCAAGUCGAGCGAGAAAGUCCCUUCGGGGGCGAGUAGAGCGGCGGACGGGUGAGUAAUACGUGGAUAAUCUUCCCUCGAGCUUGGGAUAACCCUGCGAAAGUGGGGCUAAUACCGGAUAAGACCACAUGGCAUAUGCCACGGGGUAGAAGGUGGCUUAUAUUUAUAUGAGCUAUCACUUGAGGAUGAGUCCAUGGCCUAUCAGCUUGUUGGUGAGGUAAGAGCUCACCAAGGCUAUGACGGGUAGCUGGUCUGAGAGGACGACCAGCCACACUGGGACUGAGACACGGCCCAGACUCCUACGGGAGGCUG